rnacentral:rRNA from 1 species
UACAGAGGGUGCGAGCGUUGUCCGGAAUCACUGGGCGUAAAGAGCGUGUAGGCGGCCAGGCAGGUCCGCUGUGAAAACUCGAGGCUCAACCUCGAGAUGUCGGUGGAAACCGUCUGGCUAGAGUCCGGAAGAGGAGAGUGGAAUUCCUGGUGUAGCGGUGAAAUGCGCAGAUAUCAGGAAGAACACCAAUGGCGAAAGCAGCUCUCUGGGACGGUACUGACGCUGAGACGCGAAAGCGUGGGGAGCGAACAGG